rnacentral:rRNA from 1 species
AGUGAACGCUGGCGGUAGGCCUAACACAUGCAAGUCGAACGGCAGCACAGUAAGAGCUUGCUCUUACGGGUGGCGAGUGGCGGACGGGUGAGGAAUACAUCGGAAUCUACUUUUUCGUGGGGGAUAACGUAGGGAAACUUACGCUAAUACCGCAUACGACCUACGGGUGAAAGCAGGGGAUCUUCGGACCUUGCACGAUUGAAUGAGCCGAUGUCGGAUUAGCUAGUUGGCGGGGUAAAGGCCCACCAAGGCGACGAUCCGUAGCUGGUCUGAGAGGAUGAUCAGCCACACUGGAACUGAGACACGGUCCAGACUCCUACGGGAGGCAGCAGUGGGGAAUAUUGGACAAUGGGCGCAAGCCUGGUCCAGCCAUACCGCGUGGGUGAAGAAGGCCUUCGGGUUGUAAAGCCCUUUUGUUGGGAAAGAAAAGCAGCAGGUUAAUACCCCGCUGUUCUGACGGUACCCAAAGAAUAAGUACCGGCUAACUUCGUG